CGAAGUGUGAGACAGAUCUGCUUCAUCGGGAGUUUGUUUGCCCCGAAAGGCCUAACAAAUCAAAGAGAUGACAUUUGCUUACCACGAAGGGCCUGACAAAGUCUAAGGAUGACACUUGCCUACCACGAAGGGCCUGACAAGGUCUAAGUGACGACAAUUGCCUACCACGAAGGGCCUGACAAUGCCUUAAGGAUGACACUUGCCUACCACGAAGGGCCUGACAAGGUCUAAGUGACGACAAUUGCC
rnacentral:lncRNA from 1 species